rnacentral:misc_RNA from 1 species
GAUGAAGAACGUAGCGAAAUGCGAUACUUGGUGUGAAUUGCAGAAUCCCGUGAACCAUCGAGUCUUUGAACGCAAGUUGCGCCCGAAGCCGUCAGGCCGAGGGCACGCCUGCCUGGGCGUCACACGCCGUUGCCCCCCCGCGUCCCGCACCCAACUCUUUGGGAGCGACCGCGGGGCGGGCUGAUGAUGGCCUCCCGUGCGCUCCGCCGCGCGGUUGGCCCAAAUACCGAGUCCCCGGCGACGUGCGCCACGACGAUCGGUGGUUGAGAGACCUCUGUCGCAAGUCGUGCGCGCCCGUCGCGUCACGCGGGCUCGCAUAGCGCCUCGCGCCGCACCCGGUGCGGAGCUUUCAACGCGACCCCAGGUCAGGCGGGGUUACCCGCUGAAUUUAAGCAUAUCAAUAAGCGGAGGA